UACGGGGGGAGCAAGCGUUGUUCGGAUUUACUGGGCGUAAAGGGCGCGUAGGCGGCCACUGCAAGUCAGUUGUGAAAUCUCCGGGCUUAACCCGGAAAGGUCAACUGAUACUGCAGGGCUAGAGUGCAGAAGGGGCAACUGGAAUUCUCGGUGUAGCGGUGAAAUGCGUAGAUAUCGAGAGGAACACCUGCGGCGAAGGCGGGUUGCUGGGCUGACACUGACGCUGAUGCGCGAAAGCUAGGGGAGCGAACAGG
rnacentral:rRNA from 1 species